AUUGAACGCUGGCGGCAUGCCUAACACAUGCAAGUCGAACGGGGCAGCAAUGCCUAGUGGCGGACGGGUGAGGAAUACGUAGGAAUCUGCCCUUAAGUGGGGGAUAACCAGGGGAAACCCUGACUAAUACCGCAUGAUCUCUUCGGAGCAAAGAGGGGGACCGCACGGCCUCUCGCUUCCUGAUGAGCCUACGUCUGAUUAGCUAGUUGGUAGGGUAAAGGCCUACCAAGGCGACGAUCAGUAACUGGUCUGAGAGGAUGAUCAGUCACACCGGAACUGAGACACGGUCCGGACUCCUACGGGAGGCAGCAGUGGGGAAUAUUGGACAAUGGGCGCAAGCCUGAUCCAGCAAUGCCGCGUGUGUGAAGAAGGCCUUCGGGUUGUAAAGCACUUUAGCCUGGAAAGAAAAAACUUUGGUUAACACCCAAAGUCUUGACGGUACCAGGAGAAUAAGCACCGGCUAACUCUGUGCCAGCAGCCGCAGUAAGAC
rnacentral:rRNA from 1 species